rfam:Eutrema salsugineum unplaced genomic scaffold scaffold_17, whole genome shotgun sequence.
UAGCCGUGGUGUGGACAAUCUCUCUGGUAUUAUCUAAAUCUUUCCCAAGCAUCAAAAAGAUCUUCAUCUUCUUUCUGUUUAAAAGUUCUUAACUUGUUCCUUAAGAGA